rnacentral:rRNA from 1 species
AUGAAAAAAUAUUUUGGAGGCUUAGGCAUACCUAACCUCCAAGAAAUUAACAUAUGUCUUCUAGGGGCUUGGAUUAAAAGAUUCUAUGAGGAAGACCUGAAACCCUGGAAGCUUCUUAUUGCCCAUAAAUACCUAGGAAAUAAACCUAAUAUUUUUGUCCCUUCCUACAACCCUAAGACCUCUAGAUUCUGGAAAGGAUUAAAAUCUAUUGUGCAUGCUGUGGAAUUUGGCUACAGAUGGAACAUAGGGGAUGGGAGCAGAACCAGGUUCAGGGAAGAUACUUGGUUUGGCACAUCCCCCCUAGCAGUCCAAUUUUGGCCUAUUUACUCUGUCCGCAAUGAGCUUAACAAAAGUGUCAAUGAAGUUUGGGACGGUCAAUGCCUAAAACUC